rnacentral:rRNA from 1 species
GGUUUCCGUAGGUGAACUGCGGAAGGAUCAUUGUCGAAAAUUGCUAGGGAGAGCGACCCGCGUACAUGUUGAAACAAAUUGUCGGGGGCACGGCGUCCAACGUGGCACGGCGCCCUCGACUGCCGAUCAGGCCCGCACCUUACGGCCUGCUCCAGGAGCAGCAACGGGGGUGCCGGGCCAGGCUUGGCACAAGAAGGAACCCCGGCGCGGAUCGCGCCAAGGAACAGUAUCAUAGCGUGCGUUGCCUUGCCGUCGGAUCCCCGGCGAGCGAGGUGGCGACCUGUCGCAUCUGAACGACUCUCGGCAACGGAUAUCUCGGCUCUCGCAUCGAUGAAGAACGUAGCGAAAUGCGAUACUUGGUGUGAAUUGCAGAAUCCCGUGAACCAUCGAGUCUUUGAACGCAAGUUGCGCCCGAAGCCUUUAGGCUGAGGGCACGUCUGCCUGGGCGCCACGCAUAGCGUCGCCCCCGACCAAGCCACCGCGUCUCUGCAUGGUAGGUUGGGGCGGAGAGUGGCCUCCCGUGCGCCGUUGUGCGGUUGGCCUAAAAUCGGAGCUCGGCGACAGUGCCACGACGUCCGGUGGUCGACAAGGCGGAUGCCCGGGUUGCAUCGCGUCGCGCUCGGCACGUCGCCCGUGAAGCUCGCAUGACCCAGCCGCCGCCGUCUGUACGGCACCAACGCAGCGA